rnacentral:rRNA from 1 species
UACGGAAGAAGCAAGCGUUAUCCGGAAUUACUGGGCGUAAAGAGUUGCGUAGGUGGCAUAGUAAGUCAGCAGUGAAAGCGUGGGGCUCAACCCCAUACACAUUGUUGAAACUGCUAAGCUAGAGGAUGAGAGAGGUUAUUGGAAUUCCCAGUGUAGGAGUGAAAUCCGUAGAUAUUGGGAGGAACACCGAUGGCGUAGGCAGAUAACUGGCUCAUUCCUGACACUAAGGCACGAAAGCGUGGGGAGCAAACGGG